CGAAUUUGGUAGAACCAACGAGAACUGCUAAUUACUCACUAUCGUGGUUUGAUUCCACGACAAAUUCG
rnacentral:tRNA from 1 species